rnacentral:rRNA from 1 species
AGCGAACGCUGGCGGCAGGCCUAACACAUGCAAGUCGAGCGCCGUAGCAAUGGGAGCGGCAGACGGGAGAGUAACACGUGGGAACGUACCCUUCAGUUCGGAACAACCCAGGGAAACUUGGGCUAAUACCGAAUACGUCCGUAAGGAGAAAGAUUUAUCGCUGAAGGAUCGGCCCGCGUCUGAUUAGCUAGUUGGUGAGGUAACGGCUCACCAAGGCGACGAUCAGUAGCUGGUCUGAGAGGAUGAUCAGCCUCACUGGGACUGAGACACGGCCCAGACUCCUACGGGAGGCAGCAGUGGGGAAUAUUGGACAAUGGGCGCAAGCCUGAUCCAGCCAUGCCGCGUGGAUGAUGAAGGCCCUAGGGUUGUAAAGUCCUUUCGACGGGGAAGAUAAUGACGGUACCCGUAGAAGAAGCCCCGGCUAACUUCGUG